CAGUCGCCACGGGAAUACGAAGGGGGCUAGCGUUGUUCGGAUUUACUGGGCGUAAAGGGCGCGUAGGCGGACUGAUAAGUCAGGGGUGAAAUCCCAAGGCUCAACCUUGGAACUGCCUUUGAUACUGUUUGUCUUGAGUUCGAGAGAGGUAAGUGGAACUGCGAGUGUAGAGGUGAAAUUCGUAGAUAUUCGCAAGAACACCAGUGGCGAAGGCGACUCUCUGGUCUGUAACUGACGCUGAGGAGCGAAAGCGUGGGGAGCGAACAGGAUUAGAGACCCCUGUAGUCCCUGUCUCUUAUAA
rnacentral:rRNA from 1 species